rnacentral:rRNA from 1 species
AGCGAACGCUGGCGGCAGGCUUAACUCAUGCAAGUCGAGCGGGCAUAGCAAUAUGUCAGCGGCAGACGGGUGAGUAACGCGUGGGAACGUACCUUUUGGUUCGGAACAACUGAGGGAAACUUCAGCUAAUACCGGAUAAGCCCUUACGGGGAAAGAUUUAUCGCCGAAAGAUCGGCCCGCGUCUGAUUAGCUAGUUGGUGAGGUAAUGGCUCACCAAGGCGACGAUCAGUAGCUGGUCUGAGAGGAUGAUUAGCCACAUUGGGACUGAGACAGGGCCCAAACUCCUGCGGGAGGCAGCAGUGGGGAAUAUUGGACAAUGGGCGCAAGCCUGAUCCAGCCAUGCCGCGUGAGUGAUGAAGGCCCUAGGGUUGUAAAGCUCUUUUGUGCGGGAAGAUAAUGACGGUACCGCAAGAAUAAGCCCCGGCUAACUUCGUGCCAGCAGCCGCCGUAAAAC